UACGUAGGGGGCUAGCGUUGUUCGGAAUUACUGGGCGUAAAGCGUGUGUAGGCGGCUACGUAAGUCGGAUGUGAAAGCCCCCAGGCUCAACCUGGGAAGUGCACUCGAUACUGCGUAGCUUGAGUAUCGGAGAGGUUGGUGGAAUUCUCGGUGUAGAGGUGAAAUUCGUAGGUAUCGAGAGGAACACCGGUGGCGAAGGCGGCCAACUGGACGAAUACUGACGCUGAGACACGAAAGCGUGGGGAGCAAACAGG
rnacentral:rRNA from 1 species